rnacentral:ncRNA from 2 species
GGGGCCAGAAGAGGAGCGUUACCCAGGUCGCUGACAACAGGUGCCAAAACCGUUGAAGGUCAGUCAGGGGGUGUAACGCCGAGAUAACCAUCAUCUUUGGCGAUGUUGUUUGUCGGCUGCGGGGGCUGAAUCCUCCGGGCUGUCACCUGAGGGUGGAGCGCUUCUGGCUGG